CCUACGGGUGGCAGCAGUGAGGAAUAUUGGUCAAUGGCCGGAAGGCUGAACCAGCCAAGCCGCGUGAAGGACGAAGGUGCCAAGAAUUGUAAACUUCUUUUGUCAAGGGAAAAAAUCAGGCUCGAGAGCCUGACCGAGGGUACUUGAAGAAAAAGCAUCGGCUAACUACGGGCAAGCAGCAGCGGUAAUACGGAGGAGGCGAGCGUUAUCCGGAUGUAUUGGGUUUAAAGGGUGCGUUGGCGGACGGUUAAGUCAGCGUUAAAAGCCCGGGGCUCAACCCCGGCGAGCCGUUGAAACUGGCUGUCUGGAGAUGUCGAGAGGUAUGCGGAAUUCGCAGUGUAGCGGUGAAAUGCUUAGAUAUUGCGCAGAACUCCGAUUGCGAAGGCAGCAUACCGGCUGCGAUCUGACGCUGAGGCACGAAAGCGUGGGUAUCGAACAGGAUUAGAUACCCGGGUAGUC
rnacentral:rRNA from 1 species